rnacentral:snRNA from 1 species
GGACUUGAGGGCAGCCUGUCUAUGACACCUGUCACCCCAUUAGUCACCAGUGUUCACCUGGUUGAUUAGGUGGGUGUCCCCUUCCUUGCUUGUCAUUCAACAUGUGUCUUUCUUGAAGCUGAACUCUUGGUUGAAGAGUCUUCCCAGUAGUGUUGGGGCUCACCUUUGGUUAAGGGUGCAUGUAUAGAUGUGCUUUUUUCUUAGCACCUCCAAACAGGCUUGCAAAGUGGACUAGGAUGAUUGUCUUAUCACUGAGCCAUUCCUGAGGCACUCCAUAGUUAACCAAGUAAACAUUU